rnacentral:rRNA from 1 species
GUUGCUGCGUUAAAAAGCUCGUAGUCGGAUCUCGGGAUCGUGUCGGCGGCUUUGUCGCUUCUCCGUGCGUUUCGGCGUGCGGGGUUGUGGCGAGUCGUCGGCCCUGUCGGCGAGGUCCCCACCUUUGGUGGGGUUCCACCUCGCUCGUGCAGCCCGCCGUCGCGUUUUGGCGGGUGUCCUUAAUUGGAUGCCCGUCUCGAACGUGGCCCCUUUACCUUGAACAAAUCGGAGUGCUCAAAGCAGGCUCUUCAUCGCUCGAACGGUAGCGCAUGGAAUAAUGGAAGAGGACCGGCUUCCGCUUCUGUUGGUCUCACGGAGGCAGGUAAUGAUCAAGAGGGACGGAUGGGGACAGAGGUAUGGCUCGGCGAGAGGUGAAAUUCUUGGACCCUAGCCAGACCCUCGAGAGCGAAGGCAUCUGUCAAAGAUGUUUCCAUUGAUCAAGAACGAAAGUCGCGGGAUCGAACGGGAUUAGAUACCCCGGUAGUCGCGACCGUAAACGAUGCCAACCGGGAAUUCGGCGGCGUUACUUCCAUGACCCGUCGAGCGCCCGACCCGGGAAACCGAGAGUCUUUGGGUUCUGGGGGGAGUAUGGUUGCAAAGCUGAAACUUAAAGGAAUUGACGGAAGGGCACCACCAGGAGUGGAGCCUGCGGCUUAAUUUGACUCAACACGGGGAACCUCACCCGGCCCGGACACCGCGAGGAUUGACAGACUGAGAGCUCUCUCUCGAUUCGGUGGGUGGUGGUGCAUGGCCGUUCUUAGUUGGUGGAGCGAUCUGUCUGGUUAAUUCCGAUAACGAACGAGACCCCAACCUGCUAACUAGCCCUCGGGUCCUGCUUCUGUUGGGCCCGACGGAAUGAUUC